UGCCACAGCCAUAUCACCCUGCAGACCAAGAGCGGUUACUCACUGAAGCUAAGCAGGCCUGAGCCUGGUUAGUCCCUGGAUGGUAGACCACAUGGGAAAACCAGGUUGCUGUUGAAA
rfam:Danio rerio chromosome 7, GRCz11 reference primary assembly.